rnacentral:rRNA from 1 species
UGGGGAAUUUUGGACAAUGGGGGGAACCCUGAUCCAGCAACGCCGCGUGAAUGAAGAAGGCCUUAGGGUUGUAAAGUUCUUUUGUCAGGGAAGAAAAGUCUUGUAUGAAUAGUAUGAGGAAAUGACGGUACCUGAAGAAUAAGCACCGGCUAACUACGUGCCAGCAGCCGCGGUAAUACGUAGGGUGCGAGCGUUAAUCGGAAUAACUGGGCGUAAAGGGUGCGCAGGCUGGAAUUUAAGUUAGAUGUGAAAGCCCCGAGCUUAACUUGGGAAUAGCAUUUAAUACUGGAUACCUAGAGUUUGUUAGAGGGGGGUAGAAUUCCACGUGUAGCAGUGAAAUGCGUAGAGAUGUGGAGGAACACCGAUGGCGUAGGCAGCCCCCUGGGAUAAAACUGACGCU